ensembl:lncRNA
AACUUACAGACAAUGUAUUCUGUACGCUACAAACCAGGGACGAGGGACAAGGGUGGCUGGUCCCCUGUCUACUGUCAAAUAAGAUGACUUCGUUCAAACCCUCAGGAGUGCAAGAUAUGAGAACACAUCCUCAGGGGGCGACAUGACUCCCUUCCAGUCCCCUCCCCCACAACUGUCCGCAAACUCAGCCGGGGACACCAGGGUGCGGGGGUCGCCCCUUCUGGGAUGGGCAGCUGUGAGCUGAAGAGAAAAGUGGCUGGCGUGAUUGCGGGGUUGGGUUGUCCAGGUUUAAAUGUUUUGAAACUCAAAAGAAAAAAGGAGUGAGGGAGGGAGGGAGGGAGGGAGAGAGAGACAGAAAGAGAGCGAGAUCUUCCAUCUGCAGGAGCAAGCUCACCCCAAACACCCAAAGCCGCAGAGAGGCUGGGCUAGGCCAAGGCCAGGAGCCAGGGAUGCCAUGCGGGUCUCCCGCGGUAGGGGCAGGGGCAGGGCCCAGGGCUCUGGUAUGGGGCGCUGGCGGCGCAGGCCGUGGCCUCACCUUGCUCUGCACCCCACACACCGCCCCAGCUGGUUUUGGUUUUGUUUUUUUUUUUUUUUUUUUGGAAGUAAACCCUGUCCCACCUGCUCCUCCCUCUGCCUUGGUGCGUCCUCGGGGUGGGAGUCCGUGUCCUUUCGCAGCCCUGGCCAUGUCGGCCCACCGCGCCCACCCGGUCUUUCCUCUCUCUGCUGCUGUCACAGCUCAGCCCAGCCCGCGCCCACCCCUUGCCAUGGCGGCCGCUGGCUGGUUGAAAGGGAACGAAUGGGUCGUAGCUGGAAGGUGGGGGACUGGUGGAUGGGGCGGGCUGGGGAGGGCUGGGCUGCCGGCCGAGGGCGCCCCGCCGCACCCUGAGACCCCGACCCUGUGUUUGCAGGAGGGCAGCAGCCCCCAGGGCAGCAGCCAGGGAGUGCGCAUCACCUCGGACCAGCAGAAGAGGAGCAGCUUCUUCCGCUGUGUCCUCCUUAACUGUCUAGAAUCCUUGUCCACUGCGGAGACGGAAGAAGUUAAGAAUUGGCUCUUUUUUCCUGGGACGUCCGCUGAAGAGGCGCGCGCAGAAAUCGCGUACCCAGAGAGAGAGAGAGAGGGGUGGAGCCGAAGUGCGGGGUCCACAGCCGCCCACGCCCGAGCCGCAGCGCCAGCUCCCCGCCCCCACUCCCUGGAAGCAAGGCCGCCGCCGCCGCCCGCCCCCCACCAAGGCCAGCCGGGGGUUCCUGGGUGCUGGGCUCCAGGCCCCGAGGGAGGCAGCCGCCGCCAGGCCCGAGCACCUGGCAGCCCGCUUGGCAAGCCUCUUCUCUCAGUUUGGGACAAGUGACAAAAGCCAUCCCCGCCCCCGCCCCCCUGCCUUCUUGUUAACUGUUAAACCAAAGGGAAGCACAAAGUAAGGGAACCCCGCGUGCGUGCAGCGCUGGGAGGAAGCCGCCCGCGGGGCGGGGCGGGGUGCCCAGGGGCCACAGGUGACCCCAGCCACGCCCCUGCCCGGUGCGGCCCCGCCCUCCUCCUCCUCCUCCUCCUCCUCCUGCCGCCGGCUCCACGCUGGACAUUUGUUUUUCCAGCGGAGGUUUUUUUUUUUUUUUUUUCCUUUCUUUUGUCUUUUUCCAGAUUCGUAGUGCCAUGAACUGAUUUUCUGUCUUUUUGAUUUCCAGCGGCACAACCCUGGUGACCCUGGGAACCAGCGGGAAACCCCACCCCCCUCCCGCUGGACGCUGGACGCGGCCUUGGGCGAGGGUGGCGCCUUCUGCGGGGGGGGGGGGGGGGGGGCAGGCCCCCGGGGUUUCCAAAAAGCCCACCUGUCCCGGGGGGGGGGGGG